GUGUCAGCCGCCGCGGUAAGACGUAGGGGGCAAGCGUUGUCCGGAUUCACUGGGCGUAAAGGGCGCGUAGGCGGUUACGUAAGUCCGGCGUGAAAUCUCACAGCUCAACUGUGGAACUGCGUCGGAUACUGCGUUGACUAGAGGGCGGUAGAGGUACCUGGAACUAGCGGUGUAGCGGUGAAAUGCGCAGAUAUCGCUAGGAACGCCGGUGGCGAAGGCGAGGUACUGGGCCGUUCCUGACGCUGAGGCGCGAAAGCUAGGGGAGCGAACCGGAUUAGAUACCCUUGUAGUCC
rnacentral:rRNA from 1 species